UGGAGGAAGGGAGGGACAGAGGCCUGCUCGACGAUUUGCUUUGUUGCUGAAAGUUUGGAAGGAAUCUACACAGUUUUUUGUUGGUACUUCGAACCAGGUUCUACGCCACCAAAACGCACAACUAAACAGCCGUCGAGUGACCGAAAUUUUGGCUGCGCGGCUAUCACAAGCACAGCUGGAUACCUUUCGCUGUACGACGAGAAUAGGGUCCCGCGAUUUUGUUUGGCCUUUUUUUUCAUUUACGGCCCCUCAGUCUCCAAAACCGCGACGACCCGCGGCGUGUUCUUUUCGCUGAAAGCAUAAAAUUUAUGCGCAGUUCUGUGCCGCACUGCUCUCUGGUACGUGUGUUUGUGCAUGCGAAGCAGUAAGCAACCGGGCCCAAGAACAGUCAGCAGCAGCAGCACCUUAACCUAGAAGAACUUGAAGUAGCAUUGGAACUGGAUCCAUAAGAGCAUGGUGUGUGUACAGAUACUCUCGCAGCGUAAGCUGACACUUUAUUUCGCACCGUGAAUGAAUGAUCGAUCGCACGUGAUUGUAGAACGCGCUGCGCUCUGAGAUAAUGACACCGAAACAGCAGCAGCAGCAGCAGCAGCAAUGGCAAAUGUCCUCCAAAUUCUUUCCUUGAGCAAAAGGAAGGAAAAAAUGGCCAACUCCAUCAAAAUCAUCUAAAAUCCGGGCCCCGGUCUUUGGAGCGACAUCGUUUGUUUGGCAUUGUGUGACGCACAUUCGGGGACGGAAAUAGAACGCGCUCUACGCCGAAAACACCGGUCUGUAGUAGUAGUAGUAGGUUGAAUUUUCCACGCAGUGGUGGGUGCAAAUGUCACACAAACUGGUCGGUGGAAAUGGAAACCGUUUGCCAGUUGAUUGCCAGAACCGUACCCCACAGGAGGGUUGAUUUCCGCAUUGAUACACUUCCCGUCGGCACACGCCUACACGGGCGUGGGCUCUUUUCGUUUUUUCAAGUUGUCACUCCUGCACCUUCCACCUCCUUUUCCUAUAUGAUGUAAAAGGAAUUAAAGGCGACCGUGCUCGGAUAGGCGGCGGACGGUAAAUCGUGUUAGCGCUAACAUGUGUCCGCACAGCCGGUGUAGCGCAACGUGACGUCGGCGUGGCACGGAAGCACUGACCUGGUCAACCCGGGGCUGUAGGUGUCACCGGCGAGCGCGCGGCAAGAUUAAUACGCUUCUUCGCCCGGUUUACUUACGGGUGUUUCAACUUUUCAUCGGCCUGUCUAGAAACAAUAAGGGUGGUGGUGGUGGGUGUGUGCUGUGUGUUUUAGGUUAGGUUGGUUGUGUGCUGCAGGCUGCAAUGGUUUGUUGUUUGAGAUGGGAUUACGGUAAUAAUUGAUAGGAUUUAUUGGUGCCAGUUGCAGGAAUGCAGCGGGUGACAGUGGAUUCAUCUAGAAAUUCUCAUAAUUGAACGCGUGAACAGUAACGGUACGAAAUAGCUGCCACCAUAAUUGUGCCGGUGUCGGUACUUAACACAUUAUUCAGUUUGUUUUAUAUUUUUAUACAUUGUAGCGUUAUUUAUCAUUUUAAGUUGUAUGAUG